ACACUUGACGUCCUGUGUACUUGUGGCUGUGCAACUUGCGUAUACCGCGUAGCCGAGCGGAGUUUUGCUGGCUACGUGUGUAGGAACUCACAGAUGAAUGCAACUUACGUUUGCGCUUUGUUAGGCAGCGCGGGUGGGCGUGUGCUGCCCGGGCGGCGCGUGUGGUUUGCCCCAAAUGGCGAGCUGGCGCCUGGGGCCGCGCGCGCCAUGACACACACACCCUCGCGAAGCCACGCAAAUGGGCUGAUGCCGUACGGUGCGCCUGGAAACGGCGCGAGCGAGGCUCUUGGGGAGCGUGCCCCACUCUCGCCCGCGUGAGCUCCGGCCAGCUCCACCUGCGGCACGUAUAUCCGCACGACCCGCACCGAAGCGCGGCGGGAUCCCGCAACCAACUCACACAUAGCGCUCGCACCCUAUAGCUCGCCCCGCCGGCAGAGGCCGGGGACGUGCGCAUGCUGCGCGCACCAGAGAGAGACCCUGCGCAUCGACAACGCGGCACAUCGGAAGGCUCCAGAUGUUCGCGGCCUACGAACGCGGGUAGUGGUGUGUCUCUCUCACGGCGGUCAACAGCACGCCAGCCACGGAUAUUCCAAGACUGCCACGCGCGCGGACGGGGGCCACUCUAGGGCGGCGCUUCGACUACGUGUGUUCGUGAACCCCCGGGGGAACACCCCGAGGGAAGUUGCAUCUGGAGUCCACUACACACCAUUGGGGGACUUAAAUUCGUAU
rnacentral:rRNA from 1 species